AGGGUCUCAAUACUCCCACCGAGGUUUCUAGCAGUAUAGGAAUGAAAGAAGAAGAAAACAAAAAUCCAAGAAACAUAGGUCAUUCAUUCCAUGUGUUUGCAUCAAAAAGAAAAAUCAAUCUAGCAUCCUCAUGUAAACAUAUGUUCUUCAUAUACAAAGCUACUUAUUUAUUCCCGGCAACAAUUUGAUGUUAGGAUGAAAAAAUACAUCAACUAGGCAUUUUUGAUAACUUAAACAUUGCGCAUAUUUAGGUAUAUAUCCUUUUAUGAUAUGGUUUGUGGUAACUUUAUUUACUGUCACGAUUGCAUUAAACCAAUUGUG
rnacentral:lncRNA from 1 species